GAUGAACGCUGGCGGCGUGCCUAAUACAUGCAAGUCGAGCGAACGGACGAGAAGCUUGCUUCUCUGAUGUUAGCGGCGGACGGGUGAGUAACACGUGGAUAACCUACCUAUAAGACUGGGAUAACUUCGGGAAACCGGAGCUAAUACCGGAUAAUAUUUUGAACCGCAUGGUUCAAAAGUGAAAGACGGUCUUGCUGUCACUUAUAGAUGGAUCCGCGCUGCAUUAGCUAGUUGGUAAGGUGACGGCUUACCAAGGCAACGAUGCAUAGCCGACCUGAGAGGGUGAUCGGCCACACUGGAACUGAGACACGGUCCAGACUCCUACGGGAGGCAGCAGUAGGGAAUCUUCCGCAAUGGGCGAAAGCCUGACGGAGCAACGCCGCGUGAGUGAUGAAGGUCUUCGGAUCGUAAAACUCUGUUAUUAGGGAAGAACAUAUGUGUAAGUAACUGUGCACAUCUUGACGGUACCUAAUCAGAAAGCCACGGCUAACUACGUGCCAGCAGCCGCGGUAAUACGUAGGUGGCAAGCGUUAUCCGGAAUUAUUGGGCGUAAAGCGCGCGUAGGCGGUUUUUUAAGUCUGAUGUGAAAGCCCACGGCUCAACCGUGGAGGGUCAUUGGAAACUGGAAAACUUGAGUGCAGAAGAGGAAAGUGGAAUUCCAUGUGUAGCGGUGAAAUGCGCAGAGAUAUGGAGGAACACCAGUGGCGAAGGCGACUUUCUGGUCUGUAACUGACGCUGAUGUGCGAAAGCGUGGGGAUCAAACAGG
rnacentral:rRNA from 1 species